UACGUAGGGUGCAAGCGUUGUCCGGAAUUAUUGGGCGUAAAGAGCUCGUAGGCGGUUUGUUGCGUCGGCUGUGAAAUCCCGAGGCUCAACCUCGGGUCUGCAGUCGAUACGAGCAAACUAGAGUGUUGCAGGGGAGACUGGAAUUCCUGGUGUAGCGGUGAAAUGCGCAGAUAUCGGGAGGAACACCAAUGGCGAAGGCAGCUCGCUGGGACGGUACUGACGCUGAGGCGCGAAAGCGUGGGGAGCAAACAGG
rnacentral:rRNA from 1 species